CAGAAAUCGGGUGUCCUGAACAAUCCCUUCCCGGAAAAAAAAACUGGACGAAUAAAUCCCCACUGGCCGCCGGCGGCGGCGGCGGCGCGAUUGCGAGAGGACCGGUUGAUUCCUCGAUCGGGUGGGUUCCAGGCGGGGGCCAUCCGGGAAAGAAGACGAGUGCGGGUCCAACAAGAAAAGGAGGAUGGCGGCUUAUCCGACCAUACGAGACGAUCCCUUGGCGGAGAAGAAGAGGAAGGUGGGUGUGUGGAGCGAAGAGGAAGAUGACUACUUGGCGGCCAGACGCGACGAAGAAUCAGCUCCCCGCCCUGUGAAAAUCCCCACGCUCGAUCGCUUCAAGCCCCCGACCCGGUUUCACAUUGCCGAGCUCUUCUCCGUCCGUGAAUCCGGAAGCCAGGCCGUGCUCUCCGCUGCCAAAUUCCUUCUAGGGGUUUCAUCCUCCCUUGUUGGUGAACCGCUGAGACGCUGCUCCGGCUUCUGGGUCGGUUGGGAUGCGGAGAAGAAAACCGGCCUUGUUUUGACAACUGCGCGGCUGAUUCGCACAAAGGACGCUCCUUACAGCGUCUGGACAGGCGGCCAAGAGUAUGCCCCUAAUGCUGAUGUCACUGUUCAUUUGCUAAAUGGCACUAGUGCAAAGGGCGAGCUUGUCUACUAUCAGCCCCAUUACGAUAUCGCUUUCUUGAAUGUUGAGGUGGAUCAACCAAUCAAGUUACCAUCUCUUCGUGAAAAAGAUGUAGAAUUUGCUCAAGAGGUUUUUCAGCUAGGAAGAGACAAUUCCUUAAAUCUAAGGAUAGCAUAUGCUAGGGCAGAAUAUCUGAAUCCAAACUUGUUUGAGCGGCACCACAACGUGUACUUUUGUUCUCCAGAUGGCCAUGACGAUGAUAAUAAUGAGUAUGACAAUGGGGGGCUAGUUAUUGACUUGAAUGGAAAAGUUGUUGGAAUGGUCAACGACCCUGAGAGAUUUGGGUCUUUUAUACCUUCUUCCAUUUUGCUCAAUUGUUUGGAUUCAUGGAAGAAAUAUCGGUACAUUGGUCGGCCUCAUCUUGGGAUGAGGUUUGAGGCCAUCAAACUUCUAGAGCCUUCUCAUGUUGACAUGUUAUGUCGUAUGUAUAACAUUGAUGACGGUCUUGUUGUUAGAGAGGUCUCGAAAGGAUCUAAUGCUGAGAUAUGUGGAAUUCAAAAAGGUGAUCUUAUUGAAUGUAUUAAGGGAAAAUGCAUUUCUACCACAAUUCAGUUGGAAAAUCUGUUGAUGAGCAUAUGCAAAGGCCCUUCAGAUAGUAAAAAUGGCCGUAAUACUGAAGUUCAUAUUUCUGUAAGUUCAGUUCUAUCUUAUAACGGUUGGGUUAUUUCAAACACUCAAAAAAUGCCGAAGGACCGUAGAGUUGACUGCAACUGUAUCAGACCUUGGAGAAGUUAUUGCAAGAGGUUCAAAAACAAUCUCCUAAUUCUCUGCUUCCUGGGUCUGCCUGGAGGCCUUUUUAGAGUUGGUGGGUGUACUUUGCAACCCUAGUCGACUUUCACCCAGUUGUGUUGUAUCUAGUGAAUCUGUCAUGGAUGGUACUGACCCAGCAUAUGAUGCCCUAAACAUCUCAAUGCUGUAAUAAUUAUCGGCAUGUGCUUGGAUCUCAGCUCCCCUGAUUGAGCAUCUGAAGGCCAAUGCAUGAAGGUACUAGAGUCUCUUGAACUGGCUGACGGAAAAAAAAAGGUUUCCAUAUUAGAUGUAGUGUCUAGUGGAUAUUAGAAAUAACUUGUGUACAUGUAAUUUAGUGCCCCUUGUUCUGUUUUGCUAAAAAAACAAGAGCACCUUGCUAAUGUCAUGUGAAGAUAGUAUCUCA